rnacentral:rRNA from 1 species
AUUGAACGCUGGCGGCAGGCCUAACACAUGCAAGUCGAACGAGUGGCGGACGGGUGAGUAAUGUCUGGGAAACUGCCCGAUGGAGGGGGAUAACUACUGGAAACGGUAGCUAAUACCGCAUACCAUCGGAUGUGCCCAGAUGGGCUUAGCUAGUAGUUGGGGUAACGGCUCACCUAGGCGACGAUCCCUAGCUGGUCUGAGAGGAUGACCAGCCACACGGGAACGGAGACACGGUCCAGACUCCUACGGGAGGCAGCAGUGGGGAAUAUUGCACAAUGGGCGCAAGCCUGAUACAGCCAUGCCGCGUGUAUGAAGAAGGCCUUCGGGUUGUAAAGUACUUUCAGCGGGGAGGCGUUACCCGCAGAAGAAGCACCGGCUAACUCCGUGCCAGCCGCCGCGGUAAUUC